GGCCACCCUCAGUGUGACCUGUAUGGCUAUUGACCACGUAUGCGUUGCAUUCACUUGUGUGUGUGAAAAGCCGUAGAUAUUAUGUGAUUGGGCCGGCACGCAAAGGCAGUGCCUUUAAGGUUUAUUGGCGCUCUGUACUUCUCAAUACGUCCGUGUACCAUUCCGUACAGUGGCAUUUUAAAAAGUCAUAAAUGUUACUUUUUGAAACAGAUACCGAUAAUUUCCAAUAUUACAUUUUAAAGCAUUUAUCGGCCGAUAAUAUCGGCAGCCCGAUAUUAUCGGACAUCUCUAGUUUUUACCUGCUUUGACAUUAUGUAUGCUCAUUUUUAACAAUUGUUAGACUGUCUGCCCUGAGAUCGGGUAGGUUGUGAGUUCAAAUCCUGGCCGAGUCAUAUCAAAGACUAUAAAAAUGGGACCCAUUAACUCCCUGCUUGGCACUCAGCAUCAAGGGUUUGGAAUUGGGGGUUAAAUCACCAAAACGAUUCCCGGGCACGGCCACCGCUGCUGCUCACUGCUCCCCUCACCUCCCAGGGGUUAAACAAGGGGACGGGUCAAAUGCAGAGGACAAAUUUCACCACACCUAGUGUGUGUGUGACUAUCAUUGGUACUUUAACUUUUAACUUUAACUUAAUUGUUGGUGGUGAAGCUCAGAGGUAAUCGUUAGAUUAUUAAAGAUUUCCUUAGUUUUUUGUGUGAUCUUAACAAAUAUACUGCAUGAAAAUAGAAAAUAUAUUUAAUAUCGUAUUUUUCGGACCAUAGGGCGCACCGGAUUAUAAGGCGUACUGUCGAUGAAUGGUCUAUUUUCGAUCUUUUUUCAUAUAUAAGGCGCACCGGAUUAUAGGGCGCACUAAAGGAGUCAUACUAUUAUGAUUUUUUCCCUCUAUCCCGCCUAUAGCGCACUUAAAAAAAUCAUCCAAGCACCUCCAUUAAGGUUUUAUAUACGUGCUGUGUAGUCACGGGCACAAUUAUCAUAACAUUUAUGCAUUUUGCUCAUUUUAAGCAUGUUAAGUGUUUCAUUUCAAACACACAUCACAACGUUCGCUUUUUUUUAUUUUAAACAUCACUGAUUAUUACUCACUGAAGACUUCAUGAGAGCCAACAAACAUAAUACAACAUCACUUACUGUACAAUGUGUGCUGUCAUUAGGAUGCCAACUGAUAGAAUCUUGUUAUAUUCCCGUUUAGAUGAAGAAUGACUCAUAAUACUCUGGAAGAAACGAGGGUUGGAACCAAGGGUCUUGUCGUGUCGUUCUCGCCAUUCCCGGGUCUAACUGGCUGUCAAAGUGGACCAACUUGUCGGAAUACGUCUUCAUCCUUCUACUAUCCAGGUUUCGUGAAGUGUGAGCCCUGCUACCAAGUGAUCCAUGAUCCGGUGGGCAUGUACGUCUGACAAAGGGUUCCAGAUGCCGGCCUUCGUCGUCCGCUUCCCCGAUGGGGAUCGAGCUGCCGGCGAUCUUGUUGUUGGCGAGCGUAUUCACAGGCUUGAUGUGCUGCAUGGUCCUCAGG